AUUGAACGCUGGCGGCAUGCUUUACACAUGCAAGUCGAACGGUAACAGGCCGCAAGGUGCUGACGAGUGGCGAACGGGUGAGUAAUGCAUCGGAACGUGCCCAGUCGUGGGGGAUAACUACUCGAAAGAGUAGCUAAUACCGCAUACGAUCUAUGGAUGAAAGCGGGGGACCGUAAUGCCUCGCGCGAUUGGAGCGGCCGAUGUCAGAUUAGGUAGUUGGUGGGGUAAAGGCUCACCAAGCCAACGAUCUGUAGCUGGACUGAGAGGACGACCGGCCACACUGGAACUGGGACACGGCCCAGACUCCUACGGGAGGCAGCAGUGGGGAAUUUUGGACAAUGGGCGCAAGCCUGAUCCAGCAAUGCCGCGUGCAGGAAGAAGGCCUUCGGGUUGUAAACUGCUUUUGUACGGAACGAAACGGCUCUGGUUAAUACCCGGGGCUAAUGACGGUACCGUAAGAAUAAGCACCGGCUAACUACGUG
rnacentral:rRNA from 1 species